UUUUUAAAAAUAAAAAGGGGAAACGCUUAUUCACCUGUCAAAAUAACAAAUACACUCGCAACAAAGAAGAUGUUAUUGGAGUCAUCUCCAACAUAUUCGUCAAAACAGUUCCACAUCACACAUUUCUCAAGAGAUUCAAUUGCCAAUUGUAAAAUUUAAGUCAAAAAAAGGAACAUCUACUGCCUCUAAAUGUAUUUGACCAAGUAGAUUCCCUGUAACAGCUAAAAACUGUAACCCCUAGAAGAACAGCUCUUAGCACCAUUUGAUUCACCCGUAUAGUUGUUGCAACCAAAAGCACAGGCAAAUUUCCAGUGCCUGCAACCUUGAUAUACAAUGACUAAUCUAUGUUCCUAAAUAUGAUCUGUAUAUGAUUUGUGAAGGAAGUGAAUUUCCGAGUGAUUAGAGAAGGUACACCUGUUUUGAUAACCCCCACUUGGAUCUAAUGGUACAAAACUUUCAAAUCUUAAUUGGCCAAACAUAGUUUUGAACUACACAUGCUGUACUCCAUAUCAAUAUUUGGCUCAUUUUUUAUCAAUUUCAGCACCUCCAACGAAUGUGUGAGCUCAGGAUUUUCUGUACUGAGUAUGAUUAGCUUAUGCUAUUGGUCUUUUAUUUCAUGUAUUCCAACACACUUUG
rnacentral:misc_RNA from 1 species